AGAUGUGAGGACAAUAGGGCUGUGACACUGGUCACCCAUUGAUCACCAGGAUUGUUAUGGCUAAUCUGGCUAGCUGGGUGGGUGUCCUCACCCUCCCUCCCUCCCUCCCUGCCCCAUGUGCAGCCUUCCUGAAGCUGUGCACCUGGUGGAAGAGGACGGCCACCCCACCAUUCUUCACUCAAGGGUAGAUGAUACCUGCACUUCCAUGCUAGAACCUCCAAACAAGCUCAACACUCAUUUGUAGGAUAAAGUAGGGUAGUCAAGAUUUCUUAGCUGUUCUUCCUUAUGAGGUCCCAGGGUGGGUUACAACAAGCA